rnacentral:rRNA from 1 species
CAGCAGUCGCCGCGGUAAUACGUAGGUCCCGAGCGUUGUCCGGAUUUAUUGGGCGUAAAGGGAGCGCAGGCGGUUUAGUAAGUCUGAAGUUAAAGGCAUUGGCUCAACCAAUGUAUGCUUUGGAAACUGUUAGACUUGAGUGCAGAAGGGGAGAGUGGAAUUCCAUGUGUAGCGGUGAAAUGCGUAGAUAUAUGGAGGAACACCGGUGGCGAAAGCGGCUCUCUGGUCUGUCACUGACGCUGAGGCUCGAAAGCGUGGGUAGCGAACAGGAUUAGAGACCCCUGUAGUCCCUGUCUCUUAUACA